GGAAGCGUGGCCGAGCGGUUUAAGGCUGCAGUCUUGAAAACUGCCGAGGGGGCAACUCCUCCGUGAGUUCGAAUCUCACCGCUUCCACCA
rnacentral:tRNA from 1 species